UGAAGAGUUUGAUCAUGGCUCAGAUUGAACGCUGGCGGCAGGCUUAACACAUGCAAGUCGAGCGGGGAAAGGUAGCUUGCUACCUGACCUAGCGGCGGACGGGUGAGUAAUGCUUAGGAAUCUGCCUAUUAGUGGGGGACAACAUUCCGAAAGGAAUGCUAAUACCGCAUACGCCCUACGGGGGAAAGCAGGGGAUCUUCGGACCUUGCGCUAAUAGAUGAGCCUAAGUCAGAUUAGCUAGUUGGUGGGGUAAAGGCCUACCAAGGCGACGAUCUGUAGCGGGUCUGAGAGGAUGAUCCGCCACACUGGGACUGAGACACGGCCCAGACUCCUACGGGAGGCAGCAGUGGGGAAUAUUGGACAAUGGGCGAAAGCCUGAUCCAGCCAUGCCGCGUGUGUGAAGAAGGUCUUCGGAUUGUAAAGCACUUUAAGUUGGGAGGAAGGGCAGUAAAUUAAUACUUUGCUGUUUUGACGUUACCGACAGAAUAAGCACCGGCUAACUCUGUGCCAGCAGCCGCGGUAAUACAGAGGGUGCGAGCGUUAAUCGGAAUUACUGGGCGUAAAGCGAGUGUAGGUGGCUCAUUAAGUCACAUGUGAAAUCCCCGGGCUUAACCUGGGAACUGCAUGUGAUACUGGUGGUGCUAGAAUAUGUGAGAGGGAAGUAGAAUUCCAGGUGUAGCGGUGAAAUGCGUAGAGAUCUGGAGGAAUACCGAUGGCGAAGGCAGCCAUCUGGCCUAAUACUGACGCUGAGGUACGAAAGCAUGGGGAGCAAACAGGAUUAGAUACCCUGGAGUCCACGCC
rnacentral:rRNA from 1 species